rnacentral:rRNA from 1 species
AACGAACGCUGGCGGCAGGCUUAACACAUGCAAGUCGAACGCAUCCUUCGGGGUGAGUGGCAGACGGGUGAGUAACGCGUGGGAACGUGCCCUUCAGUUCGGGAUAACCCAGGGAAACUUGGGCUAAUACCGGGUACGUGCGUGAGCAGAAAGAUUUAUCGCUGAAGGAUCGGCCCGCGUCUGAUUAGCUAGUUGGUGGGGUAACGGCCCACCAAGGCGACGAUCAGUAGCUGGUCUGAGAGGAUGAUCAGCCACAUUGGGACUGAGACACGGCCCAAACUCCUACGGGAGGCAGCAGUGGGGAAUAUUGGACAAUGGGCGCAAGCCUGAUCCAGCCAUGCCGCGUGAGUGAUGAAGGCCUUAGGGUUGUAAAGCUCUUUCGUCCGGGACGAUAAUGACGGUACCGGAAGAAGAAGCCCCGGCUAACUUCGUGCCAGCCGCCGCCGUAA